AUUUAUGUAAUUAAGUUCCAUAAGACCUCUCCUUCUGAAAUUUUCUUUCUCCCCCUCAAUUGAUCAUUCCAUUUAAGAGUUUAGAAUCCUAAGAUAAUGUUCAAUAAAAUUGUCAAUCUCAAAACUAUAUUUUCUAUAAGUUUCAGCUUAUUUUCACAAGACUCAAGGUUUGAGAUAAGACAACCUUUAUAGAACUCAUCUCAAGGUAAUUAAAGCGU
rnacentral:lncRNA from 1 species